rnacentral:rRNA from 1 species
UACGUAGGGUGCAAGCGUUGUCCGGAAUUAUUGGGCGUAAAGAGCUCGUAGGCGGUUUGUCGCGUCUGCUGUGAAAACCCGAGGCUCAACCUCGGGCCUGCAGUGGGUACGGGCAGACUAGAGUGCGGUAGGGGAGAUUGGAAUUCCUGGUGUAGCGGUGGAAUGCGCAGAUAUCAGGAGGAACACCAAUGGCGAAGGCAGAUCUCUGGGCCGUAACUGACGCUGAGGAGCGAAGCAUGGGAGCGAACAGG